UCCAACCAACAACGGGUAAUGUAAGCCAGCGAUUUCGUGAAGGGCUCUCAUGUGUUGCAGCAAAGGUGAUUGACCUUACACGAGGGAAAACCCCACUCUACCAGCUCUACCUUGAUGCAAGAGAGGAGGCUCUCACUGAUGACCUACCAGAUCUUGACACAAGGGCUGCACUUUUAUUCCUGCCAUACGUCUUCAAGGAGAAACUGGAUCUCUUUGUCAUACUUGGAGAGGUUCAUCCUAAAACCCC